rnacentral:rRNA from 1 species
CAGUCGCCGCGGUAAUACGUAGGGUGCGAGCGUUGUCCGGAAUUACUGGGCGUAAAGGGCUCGUAGGUGGUUUGUCGCGUCGUCUGUGAAAUUCCGGGGCUUAACUCCGGGCGUGCAGGCGAUACGGGCAUAACUUGAGUACUGUAGGGGUAACUGGAAUUCCUGGUGUAGCGGUGAAAUGCGCAGAUAUCAGGAGGAACACCGAUGGCGAAGGCAGGUUACUGGGCAGUUACUGACGCUGAGGAGCGAAAGCAUGGGUAGCGAACAGGAUUAGAUACCCCAGUAGUCCCUGUCUCUUAUA